AGGGGCAGAGAGAGGGAGGGGAGAAGAGAGCUGAGGGGGCGGGUUAGGUGGGAGCCGGCCCAGCCCCGGUGUGCGUGAGGCUGCCAGCGGAGCCCCACUCUUUAUUCAGGCAGAGCUGCUGUGGCGGGCACCUACUGCCUCGUAAAGAGGCUGAAGAGGAGAGCAGUGAGGAGCCAGAUAAACCCUGGGGAGGAGAAAGGCGUCAUUCCCUCCGCCCCGCGCAAGGUGCGCGUGGAGCUGCCUCUGCUCGUCCCGCCGCCCCUCCGCGGUGCGGCUGCUGCUGAAGGUGAAGCUCGCUCUCCUAUUACUUUCUCCAGGGGGAGAAGGAGGCAGCGAGAGGGAGAUACCGUGCUGUGUGCGAAAGGCAAACCAAUCAGCGAUGCUCUAACGGAGGGAUUGCUGCAGGACGCGACGGCUUUUCUCCCUUUGCCGGCGGGGCUGAAUCGGGACCGCGGGCAGCUGGCGAACGGGCUAGAGCCACACAGGGCUGCAGGACUUCGGCGCCCCUCGCUUUUCUCAUAGCUAAUACGUACUUAGUCCUCUUUUAUUUUGAUUGAUACUCUGAAAUCGCGUACAAGAAACACUUCAAAUCUUGCCUCCCUUUCUACUUGCUUCAUCCUUCCUCUGGCAUCUCUUAGUCGGAUUCCUGGUGUACUCCGAAAGAGGCAGGGGGCAGAUUCGGACCCCGGCGGGACGGCUGCGUGCCCCAGCGCGGCCGAGCCAAGAGGAGCCGAGCCGAGGGGAGCCGCUCCAUGCCCCCGGGCGCUCGCGGGGCGCUUGCCAGCGAUGCCUGGGCGGUGAGGCCGGAGCUCCCCCGCGACGGGAGGCGGCCGAUCGCUAGGUGUUCCCCGCAGGAAGCAGAGCUGCAGGAUGAAUAGGAGAUACUUGCAGAAAGCAACAAAAGGAAAACUGCUAAUAAUAAUAUUUGUUGUAACACUGUGGGGGAAAUUAGCAUCUGGGGCAAAUCAUCAUAAAGCUCACCAUGUUAAAACUGGAACCUGUGAGGUGGUGGCACUCCACAGAUGUUGCAAUAAGAACAAGAUAGAAGAAAGAUCACAGACGGUGAAGUGCUCCUGCUUCCCUGGGCAGGUAGCAGGUACCACACGGGCAGCUCCUUCUUGUGUUGAUGCUUCAAUAGUGGAGCAGAAGUGGUGGUGCCACAUGCAACCAUGUCUUGAAGGAGAGGAGUGUAAAGUUCUGCCAGAUCGUAAAGGAUGGAGCUGUUCCUCUGGGAACAAAGUGAAAACAACUAGGCUGUGGCAGUAUACCUGGAGCCAAAUGUGAGUGCACUACCUCAAAAUGCCAGCAGUGGAAGUUGGUAAGAAAGUGGGGAAAAAUCACCAGAGGAAUCUCUGAAGCUUGGGACAAAGGCAGAAAACACAUCAAUACUGCACUAGCAGAGCAGCAGGUACCCUCAUAGAGAAGAUAAAAUUACAGUCAUUUAUGCCGCCGUGCUGCAGUCCCACUGUGGAGUUGUGAUCGGCACAAAAACCUCAAGAAGCUAUAUCCUUGUCUGAAUUGCUACACUUAUUAUCUGUUACAGAAAGGCAAACGUGUAAAACUCCUCAAGUCCGAAUGGAGAAGUAGAGAAAGGAGGUUUCUGCUGUGCCUGAUGACAAAUUUUGAUUUUUCCACACACACAAAACAUUCUGGCUCCGUGUUGGAGCGCUAGUUGUGAUGAAUUCUAGUCUUGGUCGGAUUCUAAGGAAGGGCCAGAACGUUCGUUGAGGAAUAAAGAGUCAAACCACUCCAGAAAAUGUGUUCCAGCCCUGGUUUAUUACUCACAGAGCAGCAGGUAACUCGAUAGCUAAAGACAAAUCAAGUCAGUCUGAAGGCUGGCAACAUUAAAUGCAACACAGAGGAAUUUCAUUCCUUCAGGCAAUCCUCAAAGUGAAAUUUUAUACUGCUGGGGUGUAUCCUUCAGAACCAAUUGUUUCACUGAGAACCUGACUUGCAAUCAGCAGCAGCUUUAAGAUCAAAACUGCUGGAAAGUUGUUCUGAACUUCUGUGUUCAUGAAGAUUUCGACUGAUUGAACUGUGUACACUUGUAAAAUUGCACUUACGGAGGAAUUUGCAGCUGUAAUCACAAGAAUUGAUAUUCCAAAGGUGCAGAAAAGCAGCAAUCUUUUGGAUUCUUCAUUCCAGACUGGCGGCUUUUCAUCUCGAUGAAGUCAACCUCCAAAAUAUACUGGUUCCUUCUCUCUAAACUGAUCCCAGCUCCACCAUUCAGAUUGCUAGUGGGACUGCACAGCGCUUCAAUUACCUUUCUGUUGCACAAAUUGUCCUCUGGCAUGGCGCAGUUUUAGACAUUUUAAUUUGAAUUCGAACCUUGGCGCUUUCAAAGGUACAUAUUUAAACAUCUCGGAGUUGUUUUUGUUAUAGGAAUGGAAAUAUAUAUCCAUUGUUAAUAAUUAUUGUUGACAAGUAAUAGUUAUCCGAAUCCAUCGGUCAUAUUAGAAUGUGUAGUCAGGUUGACAUGUUUCCCUAAGGCUAACCAACUGCUGCAGCUCUCUGGCAGUUAAAGAAAGAAUGGUCAAAAACUCAAUUACCGCUUCCAUCAUAAGGCAUUUUAUACCUUAAGAUAUACAUUUCCAUUCAGCCUGAAGGAAAUGGGUGUUCCCAAUAUGUACUUUGCUUUCCCAACCUUUAAGUCAUUGAAAUUCAUGAUAAGGAGACGAUGACAGUGUUUAAUCAUGUUUUUUUUUUAAUAUAUAUAAGUGUAGGCAGGGAUGUAAAUGAGUUUUACCAUGCUGAAAUUGGAAGGUAACAAUUCAGAUAUUUUGUCUUUUUAUCAAAAAAUAAAAUCUCUUGCUGCUUGACCCUAAGUACUGUUGGAUGCUUAUGUAGGUGUGUCUGCUAGAAAGGAAAGAAGUCCUAGUGCCCUCUCAGAUUUAGUUUGUAGGUAUUUUGCUUGCUUACAGUCAUACAAUUCAGGUUUGAUCCUUGCCAAAAUCACAUUUACUUUGUUUUGUUUUGGUUGGUUUGUUUGUUUUUAUUUCAGUAUCAAUUUUUUUUUUUACUUCAUUAACUGCUGUUACAUGAAAAAAAAAAGAACUCCUCAAUAUUUAAAGGCCUUAAGCAUCUAUGAGCUUUUUUCUAAGUUGUUACAGAAUGUAUAAUUUUAUACUCCAUUUACUGUAUAUUGUACCCUCUGUAAUAUUGAUACGACAGAAAUUUGGCAGUUCCUUUUAGUGACACUGCAUAAGCAUGCUGACUGGAGAGGGAGAGUGAGUUCUGACUGUGUAUUUUGAUGCAUUGAAAUGUAAACCAUAUACACUUUAUGGUAGUCAAAUAUAUAUAGGGGUGAGCUUGUUUAAAAGUCCUGUGCAGUUACCAGACUCCCAGAGAAAGAGGGAAAUUAUUUUAGCAUUACGAGCCAUUAACAUGCCUAGGUAGUUACAUAUACAAUUCUAUGAUGGAUGAACACCCUGGAGUGCUCUGCUUGUCACAGUAGCCCCUGCUGAUCCAAAACCAUUUCAUUACCUCUCCUGUAUCGUUGUACAGGAGAGCUUAAAUAAAAUAAAUGACUGUUGGGAAUAAAAUUGAAAAGUAUAUUUUGUCAUUCUGUGGAGAAAUGAUUAAAAAAUGUUGGCAGGGAAGGAUUCUGUUCGGAUCAAAAUUUCAUUAGGAUAAACUAACUGUAGCAGCAACCAAGUAUCUCAGUAUUUUAGGAUGGAUUAAUAUUGUAUGAACUUGUGCUAGCAGGUGCAGGACAGAAGGCAGCAUCUUAAGGAGACUAUCGGGAACAGCGAAAAGUGUAAAUGUGCUGUUUUGUCAAAUCUGAAUCUGGCCUCUCUUUGGUCAAAAAUCUACAUCAUACUUCUCAAUGUUUGUUUACUUUGUUUCUUUGUUCUUAAGCCAACACUGAAAAUACUGUAUUGUAUAGAAAUGUAACGCUGCGUAUCAAUAAGUGACAAUAAAUGGAUUUUCAAAUAUGCUGAAUAGAUUACCUGCAGUAGGUUGAUGUUGUGAAUAUUUAUAGCCAGUGAAUAAAAUUGUAAUAUAAAAUAGA